rnacentral:misc_RNA from 1 species
GAUGAAGAACGCAGCGAAAUGCGAUAAGUAGUGUGAAUUGCAGAAUUCAGUGAGUCAUCGAAUCUUUGAACGCACAUUGCGCCCUGUGGUAUUCCGCAGGGCAUGCCUGUUCGAGCGUCAUUUCAACCCUCAAGCCUCGCUUGGUGUUGGGCCCUGCCCGCCGCGGCCGGCCCUAAAGAUAGUGGCGGCGCCGCCUGGCCCUCAGCGUAGUACAGCUCUCGCUCCAGGGUCCGGCGGCAGCCUGCCAGAACCCCCCAACUCUGUGGUUGACCUCGGAUCAGGUAGGGAUACCCGCUGAACUUAAGCAUAUCAAUAAGCGGAGGA